AAAGAGCUUACAUGUAUUCGCAUGUUUACAAUGCUUAUACAGCCACAGAAUAGAACAAGGUCGUUGACCAAAAAUAAAAGAAUAGAACAAGGUCUGUGGAUCACACAGUAAACCACAAAUAACCUUGAAAGGCACAUAUAUUACAAAAACUUAAGGCCCAACAAAGUUUCCAUGGGUUUGGGAGUAUAUGACAACCCAAAGCAACCAACGUUGGGAAAUUGUUUGAUAUUGAAUUUCAUUUUUGAUAAAUAAUGUCUUUGAAAAGCUGAGGCACCGACUUACACCAGCUCUCCUUACAAGAAUACCCGCACAAACAUACAAGUAGAAAAUUACUUUUAAAAAUAGGAAAAUAAUAAAAGAAAUAAAACGGCAACACUUUCGUGUG
rnacentral:lncRNA from 1 species